GCCGCAUGAAGCUGAGCAAUAACAGGUCUGUGAUGCCCUUAGAUGUCCAGGGUCUGCACGCGCGCUACACUGGAGGAAUCAGCGUGCUGUAACCAUUGCCGAAAGGUAUUGGUAACCCCUUGAAAAUCCUCCGUGAUCGGGAUCGGGAAUUGCAAUUAUUUCCCUUGAACGAGGAAUUCCUAGUAAGUGUGAGUCAUCAGCUCACGUUGAUUACGUCCCUGCCCUUUGUACACACCGCCCGUCGCUGCCCGGGACUGAGCCGUUUCGAGAAAAGCGGGGACUGCUGUUUCGAGACCUUUCGGGGUGGAGAUUCUUUGGUGGAAACCGCCUUAAUCGCAGUGGCUUGAACCGGGCAAAAGUCGUAACAAGGUUUCCGUAGGUGAACCUGCGGAAGGAUCAUUA
rnacentral:rRNA from 1 species